rnacentral:rRNA from 1 species
CGCCUCUUGAUACACAUAAGAGGUCCAGCCUGCCCAGUGACUAAGUUCAACGGCCGCGGUAUCCUAACCGUGCGAAGGUAGCGUAAUCACUUGUUCUUUAAAUGAGGACUAGUAUGAAUGGCACCACGAGGGUUGUACUGUCUCCUUUUUUUAAUCAAUGAAACUGAUCCCCCCGUGAAGAAGCGGGGAUAAAUAUAUAAGACGAGAAGACCCUAUGGAGCUUUAAACAAUUAUAGCACUGGCCCACACUUCUUAUUCUUCUGAGACAUUACUAAUAUACAGGCCUACAUGACUAUUAGUUUUAGGUUGGGGUGACCGCGGAGCAAAAACUAACCUCCACGUUGAACGGAGCUACUCCUGAGCCAAAAGCUACAACUUUAAGCACCAAUAAACUGACAUCAAUUGACCCAACAUGUUGAGCAACGAACCAAGUUACCCUAGGGAUAACAGCGCAAUCCAUUUCAAGAGCCCCUAUCGACAAAUGGGUUUACGACCUCGAUGUUGGAUCAGGGUAUCCUAGUGGUGCAGCCGCUACUAAAGGUUCGUUUGUUCAACGAUUAAAACCCUACGUGAUCUGAGU